GAUGAACGCUGGCGGCGUGCUUAACACAUGCAAGUCGAACGGAAAGGCUCCUGCUUGCAGGGGUACUCGAGUGGCGAACGGGUGAGUAACACGUGGGUUAUCUGCCCUGCACUUCGGGAUAAGCCUGGGAAACUGGGUCUAAUACCGGAUAGGACGAUGGUUUGGAUGCCAUUGUGGACAGUUUUUCGGUGUGGGAUGAGCUCGCGGCCUAUCAGCUUGUUGGUGGGGUAAUGGCCUACCAAGGCGUCGACGGGUAGCCGGCCUGAGAGGGUGUACGGCCACAUUGGGACUGAGAUACGGCCCAGACUCCUACGGGAGGCAGCAGUGGGGAAUAUUGCACAAUGGGCGCAAGCCUGAUGCAGCGACGCCGCGUGGGGGAUGACGGCCUUCGGGUUGUAAACUCCUUUCGCUAGGGACGAAGCGCAAGUGACGGUACCUGGAGAAGAAGCACCGGCUAACUACGUG
rnacentral:rRNA from 1 species